rnacentral:rRNA from 1 species
GACAGAGGGUGCAAACGUUGUUCGGAAUUACUGGGCGUAAAGCGAGUGUAGGCGGUCUGACAAGUCAGGUGUGAAAGCCCCGGGCUCAACCCGGGAAGUGCACUUGAAACUGCCAGGCUAGAGUAUCGGAGAGGUUGGUGGAAUUCUCGGUGUAGAGGUGAAAUUCGUAGAUAUCGAGAGGAACACCGGUGGCGAAGGCGGCCAACUGGACGAAUACUGACGCUGAGACUCGAAAGCGUGGGGAGCAAACAGG